rnacentral:rRNA from 2 species
GAACGCUGGCGGCAGGCUUAACACAUGCAAGUCGAACGAUAAGCUCUCUUCGGAGAGUGGACAGUGGCAGACGGGUGAGUAACGCGUAGCAACCUACCUAGUAGUACGGAAUAACGCUUAGAAAUGAGUGCUAAUACCGUAUACGCCCUUCGGGGGAAAGAUUCAUCGCUAUUAGAUGGGGCUGCGUUAGAUUAGCUAGUUGGUGAGGUAAGAGCUCACCAAGGCGACGAUCUAUAGCGGGUCUGAGAGGAUGAUCCGCCACACUGGGACUGAGACACGGCCCAGACUCCUACGCGGAGGCAGCAGUGGGGAAUCUUGGAGCAAUGG